GAGAAGAACGCAGCGAAAUGCGAUACUUGGUGUGAAUUGCAGAAUCCCGUGAACCAUCGAGUCUUUGAACGCAAGUUGCGCCCGAAGCCACUAGGCCGAGGGCACGCCUGCCUGGGCGUCACACGCCGUUGCCCCCCCAUCUACUCCUUCGGGAUUGCGGGGGGGCGGAUGAUGGCCUCCCGUGCGCCUAGCCGCGCGGUUGGCAUAAAUACCAAGUCCUCGGCGACGCACGCCACGACAAUCGGUGGUUGCGAAACCUCGGUUGCCCGUCGUGUGCGUUCGUCGCGCAUCGAGGGCUCGAAAAAAUGCUCGGCUCCGGCUGGGCUUUCAACGCGACCCCAGGUCAGGCGGGGUUACCCGCUGAAUUUAAGCAUAUCAAUAAGCGGAGGA
rnacentral:misc_RNA from 1 species